GCUAUACUGCAGUCGAGCGGACUAAUGGGAGCUUGCUCCCGUUAGUUAGCGGCGGACGGGUGAGUAACACGUGGGCAACCUACCUGUAAGACUGGGAUAACUUCGGGAAACCGGAGCUAAUACCGGAUGACAUAAAGGAACUCCUGUUCCUUUAUUGAAAGAUGGCUUCGGCUAUCACUUACAGAUGGGCCCGCGGCGCAAUAGCUAGUUGGUGAGGUAACGGCUCACCAAGGCGACGAUGCGUAACCGACCUGAGAGGGUGAUCGGCCACACUGGGACUGAAACACGGCCCAGACUCCUACGGGAGGCAGCAGUAGGGAAUCUUCCGCAAUGGACGAAAGUCUGACGGAACAACGCCGCGUGAGCGAUGAAGGCCUUCGGGUCGUAAAGCUCUGUUGUUAGGGAAGAAUAAGUGCUAGUUAAAUAAGCUGGCACCUUGACGGUACCUAACCAGAAAGCCACGGCUAACUACGUGCCAGCAGCCGCGGUAAUACGUAGGUGGCAAGCGUUGUCCGGAAUUAUUGGGCGUAAAGCGCGCGCAGGCGGUUUCUUAAGUCUGAUGUGAAAGCCCCCGGCUCAACCGGGGAGGGUCAUUGGAAACUGGGAAACUUGAGUGCAGAAGAAGAAAGUGGAAUUCCAAGUGUAGCGGUGAAAUGCGUAGAGAUUUGGAGGAACACCAGUGGCGAAGGCGACUUUUCUGGUCUGUAACUGACGCUGAGGCGCGAAAGCGUGGGGAGCAAACAGGAUUAGAUACCCUGGUAGUCCACGCUGUAAACGAUGAGUGCUAAGUGUUAGAG
rnacentral:rRNA from 1 species